UACGGGGGGAGCAAGCGUUGUUCGGAUUUACUGGGCGUAAAGGGCGCGUAGGCGGCCAGCGCAAGUCAGUUGUGAAAUCUCCGAGCUUAACUCGGAAAGGUCAACUGAUACUGCGCGGCUAGAGUGCAGAAGGGGCAACUGGAAUUCUCGGUGUAGCGGUGAAAUGCGUAGAUAUCUGGAGGAAUACCGGUGGCGAAGGCGGCAUCCUGGACCGGCAUUGACGCUGAGGAGCGAAAGCUAGGGGAGCAAACGGG
rnacentral:rRNA from 1 species